rnacentral:rRNA from 1 species
CCUACGGGAGGCAGCAGUGAGGAAUAUUGGUCAAUGGGCGCGAGCCUGAACCAGCCAAGUCGCGUGAGGGAAGACGGUCCUAUGGAUUGUAAACCUCUUUUGUCGGGGAGCAAAAGUCGCUACGCGUAUCUUUCCGAGAGUACCCGAAGAAUAAGCAUCGGCUAACUCCGUGCCAGCAGCCGCGGUAAUACGGAGGAUGCGAGCGUUGUCCGGAUUUAUUGGGUUUAAGGGGUGCGCAGGCGGAAGAUCAAGUCAGCGGUAAAAGUGAGAGGCUUAACCUUGUACAGCCUUUGAAACUGGUUUUCUUGAGAGAGUGAGAAGUAUGCGGAAUGUGUGGUGUAGCGGUGAAAUGCAUAGAUAUCACGCAGAACUCCGAUUGCGAAGGCAGCAUACCGACGCUCAACUGACGCUGAUGCACGAAAGUGUGGGUAUCGAACAGGAUUAGAUACCCCAGUAGUC